rnacentral:rRNA from 1 species
CCUACGGGUGACAGCAGUGAGGAAUAUUGGUCAAUGGCCGCAGGGCUGAACCAGCCAAGUCGCGUGAGGGAUGACGGUCCUAUGGAUUGUAAACCUCUUUUGUCAGGGAGCAAAGGGCGCCACGUGUGGCGCUUUGCGAGUACCUGAAGAAAAAGCAUCGGCUAACUCCGUGCCAGCAGCCGCGGUAAUACGGAGGAUGCGAGUGUUAUCCGGAUUUAUUGGGUUUAAAGGGUGCGCAGGCGGAAUGUCAAGUCAGCGGUAAAAUUUCGGGGCUCAACCCCGUCGUGCCGUUGAAACUGGUGUUCUUGAGUGAGCGAGAAGUAUGCGGAAUGCGUGGUGUAGCGGUGAAAUGCAUAGAUAUCACGCAGAACUCCGAUUGCGAAGGCAGCAUACCGGCGCUCAACUGACGCUCAUGCACGAAAGCGUGGGUAUCGAACAGGAUUAGAUACCCGAGUAGUC